UACGUAGGUGGCAAGCGUUGUCCGGAUUUACUGGGCGUAAAGCGCGCGCAGGCGGAUUGGUCAGUCCGGGGUGAAAUCUCACGGCUCAACUGUGAGCGGUCCCCGGAUACUGCCAGUCUCGAGGUGUCUAGAGGAGAGCGGAAUUCCCGGUGUAGUGGUGGAAUGCGUAGAUAUCGGGAAGAACACCCGUGGCGAAGGCGGCUCUCUGGGACGGUACUGACGCUGAGACGCGAAAGCGUGGGGAGCGAACAGG
rnacentral:rRNA from 1 species